rnacentral:rRNA from 1 species
UACGUAGGUGGCAAGCGUUGUCCGGAAUUAUUGGGCGUAAAGCGCGCGCAGGCGGUUCUUUAAGUCUGAUGUGAAAGCCCACGGCUCAACCGUGGAGGGUCAUUGGAAACUGGGGGACUUGAGUGCAGAAGAGGAAAGUGGAAUUCCAAGUGUAGCGGUGAAAUGCGUAGAGAUUUGGAGGAACACCAGUGGCGAAGGCGACUUUCUGGUCUGUAACUGACGCUGAGGCGCGAAAGCGUGGGGAGCAAACAGG